rnacentral:rRNA from 1 species
UAGGGAAUCUUCGGCAAUGGGGGGAACCCUGACCGAGCAACGCCGCGUGAGUGAAGAAGGUUUUCGGAUCGUAAAGCUCUGUUGUUAAGGAAGAACGAGUGUGAGAAUGGAAAGUUCAUACUGUGACGGUACUUAACCAGAAAGGGACGGCUAACUACGUGCCAGCAGCCGCGGUAAUACGUAGGUCCCGAGCGUUGUCCGGAUUUAUUGGGCGUAAAGCGAGCGCAGGCGGUUAGAUAAGUCUGAAGUUAAAGGCAGUGGCUCAACCAUUGUAGGCUUUGGAAACUGUUUAACUUGAGUGCAGAAGGGGAGAGUGGAAUUCCAUGUGUAGCCGUGAAAUGCGUAGAUAUAUGGAGGAACACCGGUGGCGAAAGCGGCUCUCUGGUCUGUAUCUGACGCUGAGGCUCGAAAGCGUGGGGAGCGAACAGG